rnacentral:lncRNA from 1 species
UACGCUUAAUAAAUGACCACCAACGGCACUGAAUCCAAAAUAAUACCCAAAUCAGCCAAGACCAAAACCGCCAAAUUAAUCCCUGUAGAAGAAGGAAAGAAAUAGGAAGAAAGCGUUACAGGUGGGUGGCCUGUCUUAGAGAUGUUGAGAGGGAAAGGAAAAGGAGGGUAAGACAGUUUCAGUGCAUUCGGUGACAAAAAGAGAAUUAGGGCUUUGUUAAUACAGAACAGGGAAAGAAAGAUGUUGAUGGUGGUGGAGACGAAAAGGAAACGGUGCGUUUUGGUGAGGUUGAUUAAAUUAAGGAAAAAAUAUAGAUUAGUCCCUAACUAUAGUUAAAAUUAAUAGAUGAGAGCUUUAAUUUUUAAAAUAACUCCAAUAUCCCAAAAUUAUAAUUUCAUUGACAUUUUAAUCAUUUCAUCCAGGACACAUGUAGCAAACCUAAAAAAUAACAUUAUCUUAUCGAGCCGAACUCGAUUUUUAAUCCUUACAUUCAAAAUAAAUGUAACAAAAGUCAAAUUCAAGGACAAUAUUACCUUAGAUGAAAUAUGAGAUGUCGAUGAAUUGGUAAUAAAUUGAGACAGGAACAUGGAAUGGAAGAACUGGCUUUCUAUUCAAAGGCUUGAGGGGCAAACAAGUAAUUUUAGUGGAAGUUAACGCAUAAGGGAGCAUGUACCAUUCUUCAUGGGUCUCCUUUUCUGACUCAGGAACCAUUAAGGCUUGGUUGGCGAAGUAUCCCUUCUUUCCUUCCUUCCUCUUCUCUUCCUAACCAUAAAAGACAAUAAAACCUUUAAACUCUGUUACUGCUAUUCCCAAGUCUCUCUAUAAAUUCUCUGGAAAAGGCAAAUUCCUGUUGAAUUCAAAUCUCUUGCUUUCUUUUUCUUCUUCUUACUCUUUCUAGAAAAUUUUCAAUUCUUCAGAUUCUUCUUGAAGUGCCCAAUUCCCAAUUUUGUUUUCAUUUUUUCUUAUCUUAAUUUUGGAGGCAAUAAUUUGUUGCUAAAGGAUUGACAUAAAGUGAAAAUGUUUAACGGAAUGAUGGAUCCUGAGUUAAUCAAACUCGCUCAGGAACAAAUGAGUCGCAUGUCUCCGGCCGAGUUAGCCAAGAUCCAACAACAGGUUUCUUUUUCUUUUCUAAUGCUUGCAAUUUCUGUCGAUUGUUUGUUUGGAAUUAAAUCAAUUCAGGGUUAAUUUGAUAGUUGUUGCUACCGUUUGAAUUAUUUUGUAUGUCAAAGCCUUCAUCUUCUAUUUCUUUUUUUUUUUGGUUUUUUCCCCUUUCUAUAUUAAGAUAUGAGUUAAUCAUAGAUAGUAGUUGGCUGCUGGAAUAAUGUAUAGCUUACUCAGGAAAGUGGAUUCCUAGUGAAGUGGUUCGUGGAAAUGUAAAUUACCGUGUUCAAUUAGAAAUAAUGGUUUCUUUGUGAUGUACUAUUCUUGUAUUUGGUUAGCCUAGGAAGAAAGCGUUACAGGUGGGUGGCCUGUCUUAGAGAUGUUGAGAGGGAAAGGAAAAGGAGGGUAAGACAGUUUCAGUGCAUUCGGUGACAAAAAGAGAAUUAGGGCUUUGUUAAUACAGAACAGGGAAAGAAAGAUGUUGAUGGUGGUGGAGACGAAAAGGAAAC